rnacentral:rRNA from 1 species
UAMMCSCYYUGGCCGGCCGGCCUAMMCAUGCAAGUCGAGCGGUWACAGGAAAGUAGCUUGCUACUUUGCUGACGAGCGGCGGACGGGUGAGUAAUGCCUGGGAAUUUGCCCAUUCGAGGGGGAUAACAGUUGGAAACGACUGCUAAUACCGCAUACGCCCUACGGGGGAAAGGAGGGGACCUUCGGGCCUUCCGCGAAUGGAUAAGCCCAGGUGGGAUUAGCUAGUAGGUGAGGUAAUGGCUCACCUAGGCGACGAUCCCUAGCUGUUCUGAGAGGAUGAUCAGCCACACUGGGACUGAGACACGGCCCAGACUCCUACGGGAGGCAGCAGUGGGGAAUAUUGCACAAUGGGCGAAAGCCUGAUGCAGCCAUGCCGCGUGUGUGAAGAAGGCCUUCGGGUUGUAAAGCACUUUCAGCGAGGAGGAAAGGUUACUGGCUAAUAUCCAGUAGCUGUGACGUUACUCGCAGAAGAAGCACCGGCUAACUCCGUGCCAGCAGCCGCGKUUAWUA